UACAGAGGUCUCAAGCGUUGUUCGGAUUCAUUGGGCGUAAAGGGUGCGUAGGUGGCGCCGUAAGUGGGGUGUGAAAUCUCGGGGCUUAACUCCGAAACUGCAUUCCAUACUGCGGUGCUUGAGGACUGGAGAGGAGACUGGAAUUCAUGGUGUAGCAGUGAAAUGCGUAGAUAUCUGGAGGAACACCGGUGGCGAAGGCGGCAUCCUGGACCGACACUGACGCUGAGGAGCGAAAGCCAGGGGAGCAAACGGG
rnacentral:rRNA from 1 species